CCGGUAAACGGCGGCCGUAACUAUAACGGUCCUAAGGUAGCGAAAUUCCUUGUCGGGUAAGUUCCGACCUGCACGAAUGGCGUAAUGAUGGCCAGGCUGUCUCCACCCGAGACUCAGUGAAAUUGAACUCGCUGUGAAGAUGCAGUGUACCCGCGGCAAGACGGAAAGACCCCGUGAACCUUUACUAUAGCUUGACACUGAACAUUGAGCCUUGAUGUGUAGGAUAGGUGGGAGGCUUUGAAGCGUGGACGCCAGUCUGCGUGGAGCCAACCUUGAAAUACCACCCUUUAAUGUUUGAUGUUCUAACGUUGGCCCCUG
rnacentral:rRNA from 1 species